CGAACGGUGAGUAAUGCGUGACCAACCUGCCCCAUGCUCCAGAAUAGCUCUUGGAAACGGGUGGUAAUGCUGGAUGCUCCAACUUGACGCAUGUCUUGUUGGGAAAGUGUUUAGUGGCAUGGGAUGGGGUCGCGUCCUAUCAGCUUGUAGGCGGGGUAAUGGCCCACCUAGGCUUCGACGGGUAGCCGGCCUGAGAGGGCGGACGGCCACAUUGGGACUGAGAUACGGCCCAGACUCCUACGGGAGGCAGCAGUG
rnacentral:rRNA from 1 species